GACGAACGCUGGCGGCGUGCUUAACACAUGCAAGUCGAACGGAAAGGCCCUGCUUUUGUGGGGUGCUCGAGUGGCGAACGGGUGAGUAACACGUGAGUAACCUGCCCUUGACUUUGGGAUAACUUCAGGAAACUGGGGCUAAUACCGGAUAGGAGCUCCUGCUGCAUGGUGGGGGUUGGAAAGUUUCGGCGGUUGGGGAUGGACUCGCGGCUUAUCAGCUUGUUGGUGGGGUAGUGGCUUACCAAGGCUUUGACGGGUAGCCGGCCUGAGCGGGUGACCGGCCCAACUAGGACGGGGCUACGACCCAGACUCCAACGGGAGGCGAGGGUGCGGUGUAUAGCACAAUGGGCGGAAGGCUGGUGCGGCAACGCCGCGUGGGGUAAGAGGGGCUGCGCUUUGUAUUCCACUUUCGCCUUUGCCGAGGCGUGAGUGACGGUAAUGGGUGAAGAAGCACCGGCUAACUACGUG
rnacentral:rRNA from 1 species